GGAAGGUGGGGAGGCUAGUAUAAAGACCAAGAAGACCAAGACUUUGCUAGGAAAAGGGACUCCAUCUAGGCAGCUGGACUCAGAUACAAGAAAGUCCCAUGGGCAAGAAGAAGGGGUAGCCCGAGCUGGGAUUUAUGAUGUGGGAAAGACGAGGUCAGUGGCUGAGGAUAAAGUUUGAUCCAGCAUAUUCUAAAAUGCUACAAGACUGCCAGCAAGUUUCAAAGACACAUCAGAGAGAACUCAACGGCCUGACCUGGAGACCAGGAGGAUGACAUUCUCAUUAGGCAAGAGAUGCUGGACCUUCUGCAGUAAUGAGAAAUGAAAGUCACCACUCUGCUCUAAAAGCAGGGGCUAUUUACCCCUGACCUGACACACUUCUCAAAGCUCUCACAAUAAAGGCACCCAGCAUCCACUUACUGUUUCACCAUUUACCAAGUAUUUUUACAUACUCUUUUGAAGUUAUAUACUCUCUUGAAGUUAGAAAUCUUAACACAACUGGAAAAAUGUGGAAAGUAAAGCUCAGAAAGCUUAGAAUCCCUCAAAUAUGGUAGAACUAUUAAUAGAACUUAACAAACCUUUUGACCGAACACCCUCAUUGUCUGACCUUGGUUCUCAUGACGAAAGUUCCUUAAUUUCAAGUAAAAAAACACUCUAAAGAUAUGGCCUCCAACCAAAAUGAGGGAAACUCAUCCUUUCCUGGGA
rnacentral:lncRNA from 1 species